CCGCUCAGGGGCCUCCGGCGCGAGGCCCCCUUCGUGGUCAAGAUGGCGGCGCCCAGGCGGGCCGCGCCGAGGUGAGCUGGAGCCGGGCCCGGAGAGAGGCGAGUCUGCCACGCCCAGGACUUGGACCCCGGGCUGGUCUCCCGUCUCCCGGGGAGCGGCGGGUUAAUUAUCUGAGAAGAGUAUUGUGCCAGCACACUUGAUACUACAGUAUUUCAUGUUUGACAGGACUAUUUAUCAAGCAUCUUCCUGUUCUCUAUGCUUGGACGUAUCAAUGAAUAAAUUAGACAAGAGCCUUUGCCUGCGUGCUCCUUCUUGCAUGCUUUCUCCCUCCUU